rnacentral:rRNA from 1 species
AACGAACGCUGGCGGCAUGCCUAACACAUGCAAGUCGAACGAGACCUUCGGGUCUAGUGGCGCACGGGUGCGUAACGCGUGGGAACCUGCCCUUAGGUUCGGAAUAACUCCCCGAAAGGGGUGCUAAUACCGGAUAAUGUCUUCGGACCAAAGAUUUAUCGCCUUUGGAUGGGCCCGCGUUGGAUUAGCUAGUUGGUAGGGUAAAAGCCUACCAAGGCGACGAUCCAUAGCUGGUCUGAGAGGAUGAUCAGCCACACUGGGACUGAGACACGGCCCAGACUCCUACGGGAGGCAGCAGUGGGGAAUAUUGGACAAUGGGCGAAAGACUGAUCCAGCAAUGCCGCGUGAGUGAUGAAGGCCUUAGGGUUGUAAAGCUCUUUUACCCAGGAUGAUAAUGACAGUACCGGGAGAAUAAGCUCCGGCUAACUCCGUG